rnacentral:tRNA from 2 species
UUGGGAUAGCUCAGUUGGUAGAGCA